rnacentral:tRNA from 1 species
GGUGAGAUGGCCGAGUGGUUAUGGCGCUGCGUUCAGGUAAACUGAAUAAAUUUCGCAGUGGAGCAAUCCGCGUGGGUUCGAGUCCCACUCUCAUCA